AAGGCGUAACGAUUUGGGCACUGUCUCAACAACAGACUCGGUGAAAUUGUAAUUCCGGUGAAGAUGCCGGAUACCUGCGACAGGACGGAAAGACCCCAUGGAGCUUUACUGUAGCUUGACAUUGGGUUUUGGUACUACAUGUACAGGAUAGGUGGGAGGCUUUGAAACCAGGACGCCAGUUUUGGCGGAGCCAUCCUUGGGAUACCACC
rnacentral:rRNA from 1 species